CCUACGGGAGGCAGCAGUGAGGAAUAUUGGUCAAUGGGCUGACGCCUGAACCAGCCAAGUCGCGUGAGGGAAGACUGCCCUAUGGGUUGUAAACCUCUUUUGUCAGGGAGCAACGCCGGCUACGUGUAGCCGGACUGAGAGUACCUGAAGAAAAAGCAGCGGCUAACUCCGUGCCAGCAGCCGCGGUAAUACGGAGGAGGCGAGCGUUAUCCUGAUUGAUUGGGUUUAAAGGGUGCGUAGGCGGAAUGCCAAGUCAGCGGUAAAAUCGCGGGGCUCAACCUCGCUCCGCCGUUGAAACUGGCGUUCUUGAGUGGGCGACAUGUAUGCGGAAUGCGUGGUGUAGCGGUGAUAUGCAUAGCUCUCACGCAGAACUCCGAUUGCGAAGGCAGCAUACCGGCGCCCAACUGACGCUGAAGCACGAAAGCGUGGGUAUCGAACAGGAUUAGCUACCCUAGUAGUC
rnacentral:rRNA from 1 species